UUUUCCACAUUUGUCUAUUAUUUUCUAUUGAGAAACACCUUUGUCUAUUUUCCCCCAUUCUCUAACUACUCAUCGGAGCUCAAACAACAUGACGACAUAUGUAGCCACCUGAUUGAAAAGGUAUGGUUUAACACUUGACUUGAAAACCCCAAAAAAUCCCAAGACACGAAAAAUACAACGCUAGUUUGCGGAAAACCUUCGCCAACCAUCAACGUAAACAUGAGACAACCCAGGCUAGUUCGGCACAAAAACACAAAUCUUGGCACAUGAAAAUCGGCCGGAGUAGAACUUUGAUGAUAAUUAGCAAAUCCGUAGAUAAUAUACAUUUUUAGUUUACUUCACAUAUUACUAAUUCAAAUAUUAAUAUUUAUACAUUCAAAUAUCACUAAAAUAUAUUGCAAUGAUAAUUAUAAUGAUCCUCACAUACGCGCAAGUAAAUUUACGUGGCCUUUGCCAAGCUCCCGGUGUUUCACUUUCAGUAAAGAUACGGACAUUCGGGAAAGCCCAUUUUUCCGGUAGUAAAAUAUUGUCAGAAGAUCCCCAGUUAGGGGAUAAGAACAAACUUUCACAAGAUCCACUACAACGAGAACCCCCUACAGCCACGCAUUCCCUCCAACGAAACAUCGAUGCGUUGCUAGGAUUAAAGUCCCCACUUGCCACUUCCCACUUCGCACGACUAUUGACCACUUUGUUGAAAAAGAAAAAAGAAACACAUCCUAGCGAUAAAGUACCCACAUCGCCACCGCUACCUUCAUCCUAUCGUGCGAGGCCAGAUCCGGUUCCUCCGGUUUCCCUCCUCCCUCCCCACUCAGGCCGCCUCAACCGUGCUCCGCGAUCCCGACGUCGAGGGUUUCCUCAUGAGUCCGGCGCCACCCUUCCCUCCCACCCCGAACGGCAACCCCGCGGAAUCGGAGGAGCGACAUGAUGUCGACCGCGGCGAUGGUGCAGGUCGGCGACGUGCCGGACCCGACGGUGCGGAACCACCUGGAGCAGGACACCCUCGAGUGGAUCUUCGUCGGUGGCAUGGGCGGCGUCGGCAAGACCAUCUGCAGCUCCAUCGUCUCCAUCUGCGUCUGCUAGUCCGUGUUCGUCAUCUCCAGCGACCCUGUUCUUCAUCCUCAGGGACGCCUUCCAGCAGUGCUUCACCAAGUUCUUCACCCUCGUCAAGGGCUUCUGCAACCUUUACGCCAAGGUGAUUAUUUUCUUCCCUCUCUGUUUGCUUUCCUCCAGUUCACUCCAUCGGCCCUGGGAUCUGCGUUAGUACUUAAUUUGAGGUACGUGUGGCUGGUUGCCUACUGAUGAACCUGUAUCUUCACGAACAGAAUGGAGAUUCUACUUGUGCUUGUAAUAUGGCGGUGAUUUCAUCUUAUGCUUUCCUUAAAAAAUACAGUUCACAUAAGUUCUAUGACUAGUGGAAAAUAAGUAUGCUAUUUGGAAGUUUCCUUUUUUUAAUAUAUUCUGCCGAGGACAGACUUUCAGCAGUCAAGAUUGAGGUGGCUGACUUGGAGAAAAAAGAGUAGUAAUUAUCUAGCAAUUCCCUCUGGUUCGCUGCAAAGAGAUAUUUCAUGUUAGUUGAACACUUAUUAUUGCAUCAGUUUUCGUAACUUUUAUGAUCCAAGUUAUAUACAUACUCCCCUAGUCUAACAUUUGUUCUCUUACUGUAGAUUAGUCCAAUGGAGUACUAUUCUGUAGUUUUUGAUACAGCUCCUUCAAGCAUACAUUAUUAUGGUUACUAAAGUUGCAGUAAUGCAGGAGAAGGGUCUAGAGAAAAUGACAGACUUAAAGAAUAGAUUCAGUCAUCUGUUGAAUCAGGUAUUCCUUAAUAUUGAGAAAUUUCAACCUAUUGGGAAACUAUGAUUGUUGUUUGUCCACACAUGUAGGCCCAUGGUUGUGUGCGGAGGAUAAAUUUUAUUUAGGGUAGGGCGAACACUAAAGCUGUCCGCUGCUCUUGCCGAUGUUUGCUUGCCUGCCGUCGCCGACCAUUGUCCGUUUAGCCGCCGUUGUUGCCACAAUGGACUAGUCAGCUAGCCGGUAGGGUCCAUCACUCUCACUCGCAUGGUGUCGCUACGUGCGCAUGAUGCCUCAUAGCUUGGUCGCUUCAGCUUAGGGAUUAGCAGUCUGUAGCAGUUACCAAACAAUGACUAGGCCAGCAUCAGGACCAUGCCCAUAUCUCACCAACGAUCAAGCGCUUACAUAUUACUCCCUCCGUCCCAUAAUGUAAGACGUUUUUUCACACUAGUGUAGUGUCAAAAGGCAUCUUACAUUAUGGGACGGAGGGAGUAUAUAUCAAUUCACUCCACCUUGGUUGUAGUACAUUGUAUAACUUAAAAAUAAUUAGCAUGAGUGCGUUUGGUUCAUCAGAGUAUGAACUAAUUCUGUGGAAUAUGGAGGUAAAUCAAUUCUAAAUGCAAUGAAUUGUAACCUCUACUUGUGAGUACUGCAGGGCACGUCUUGUUUCCAUCCGAAGACUACAUAAUGACAAAUGGAUACACUCUUAUAAGAGCAAGUUGGCAGCCUUUUUUCCUAUAAAGAUAUUGCCAAGAAAAAAAGAUGAUGCAUGGCACAUGCUGAUUGCGAGGUCAAGAAUUGGGCUUCUACUAGAUAGUUUAGCAUUAUGUUUUAGAACAUCACUUUCAUGGUCACAUUAUGUUCUAUGUAUUUUAUGUAUUUGUAUGUAUUUUACAAAUCAAUUCAAGCGGUGGCAUUGGUUUCA